UACGUAGGGGGCUAGCGUUGUCCGGAAUCAUUGGGCGUAAAGCGCGUGUAGGCGGUCCGGUAAGUCCGCUGUGAAAGUCGGGGGCUCAACCCUCGGAUGCCGGUGGAUACUGUCGGGCUUGAGUACGGAAGAGGCGAGUGGAAUUCCUGGUGUAGCGGUGAAAUGCGCAGAUAUCAGGAGGAACACCAAUUGCGAAGACAGCUCGCUGGGACGUUACUGACGCUGAGGCGCGAAAGCGUGGGGAGCGAACAGG
rnacentral:rRNA from 1 species